ACGCUGGCGGCAGGCCUAACACAUGCAAGUCGAGCGGUAGAGAGAAGCUUGCUUCUCUUGAGAGCGGCGGACGGGUGAGUAAUGCCUAGGAAUCUGCCUGGUAGUGGGGGAUAACGUUCGGAAACGGACGCUAAUACCGCAUACGUCCUACGGGAGAAAGCAGGGGACCUUCGGGCCUUGCGCUAUCAGAUGAGCCUAGGUCGGAUUAGCUAGUUGGUGAGGUAAUGGCUCACCAAGGCGACGAUCCGUAACUGGUCUGAGAGGAUGAUCAGUCACACUGGAACUGAGACACGGUCCAGACUCCUACGGGAGGCAGCAGUGGGGAAUAUUGGACAAUGGGCGAAAGCCUGAUCCAGCCAUGCCGCGUGUGUGAAGAAGGUCUUCGGAUUGUAAAGCACUUUAAGUUGGGAGGAAGGGCAUUAACCUAAUACGUUAGUGUUUUGACGUUACCGACAGAAUAAGCACCGGCUAACUCUGUGCCAGCAGCCGCGGUAAUACAGAGGGUGCAAGCGUUAAUCGGAAUUACUGGGCGUAAAGCGCGCGCUAGGUGGUUUGUUAAGUUGGAUGCGAAAUCCCCGGGCUCAACCUGGGAACUGCAUUCAAAACUGACUGACUAGAGUAUGGUAGAGGGUGGUGGAAUUUCCUGUGUAGCGGUGAAAUGCGUAGAUAUAGGAAGGAACACCAGUGGCGAAGGCGACCACCUGGACUAAUACUGACACUGAGGUGCGAAAGCGUGGGGAGCAAAC
rnacentral:rRNA from 1 species